AUACAGAGGGUGCAAGCGUUAAUCGGAUUUACUGGGCGUAAAGCGCGCGUAGGUGGCUAAUUAAGUCAAAUGUGAAAUCCCCGAGCUUAACUUGGGAAUUGCAUUCGAUACUGGUUAGCUAGAGUAUGGGAGAGGAUGGUAGAAUUCCUGGUGUAGCGGUGAAAUGCGUAGAGAUCUGGAGGAAUACCGAUGGCGAAGGCAGCCAUUUGGCCUAAUACUGACACUGAGGUGCGAAGGCAUGGGGAGCAAACAGGAUUAGAUACCCUGGUGGUCCAUGCCGUAAACGAUGUCUACUAGCCGUUGGGGCCCUUGAGGCUUUAGUGGCGCAGCUAACGCGAUAAGUAGACCGCCUGGGGAGUACGGUCGCAAGACUAAAACUCAAAUGAAUUGACGGGG
rnacentral:rRNA from 1 species